rnacentral:rRNA from 1 species
AUGAACGCUAGCGGCAGGCUUAAUACAUGCAAGUUGAGGGGCAGCAUGAUAUACGCGAGUAUAUUGAUGGCGACCGGCGGACGGGUGAGUAAUAGGUAGGAGACCUACCUCAUACAGGGGGAUAGCAUAGAGAAAUCUGUGGUAAUACCCCCAUGAGGUUAUAUGAAUAGAGGCAUAUAAUCAAAGCAUAAGCGAUUAUGCGGUAUGAGAGGGGCCUACUGACCAUUAGCUAGUUGGUGAGGUAAGGGCUCACCAAGGCGAAGAUGGUUAGGGGUUUUGAGAGAGAGACCCCCCACAUUGGAACUGAGAGACGGUCCAGACUCCUACGGGAGGCAGCAGUAGGGAAUAUUGGGCAAUGGGCGAAAGCCUGACCCAGCCAUGCCGCGUGAAGGAAGACGGCCUUAUGGGUUGUAAACUUCUUUACUACGCGAAUAGAGGUUAGUACGAGAUACUAAUAGGAAGGUAGUGUAGUAAAAAGCACCGGCUAACUCCGUG